CUGUCCUUAAAAAGUAUGGGUCCUCAAAACAGCACUUGUUGCAGAAAUAAGUGUAGAUGGCCUCUUCAAGAAAUUGAAAUUAUGUAUGAUCACUUUUUCUUAUUGUUUCACGUGGAGGUCUACUGACCUUGUCUAAAUAAUGUAGGCUAGUUUAUGUCCAUGUAUUAUAUUAGGACCCAAGGUUAAUGGGUUAUUCUAUUUGCCAUGUUUUCACAGGCUGCUGUCUCAUAAUAUGGCGAAGACGAGUCACCUGAAGGCCUAACUCGCCAUAGAAGACUGAAAGAAUGUAAGAUUAACUUCUUUGUGACCAAUAUGACUUGCUCAUUGAUACAUUUGCUAUGUCAAUAUGAGGUGCAUGGCGAAUUAUUUAAUUUAUUUGUCUCGCUUCUAGGAGCUGUAGAAACAACAGGGUGUUCUUUUUCAGGGUAUUCUUUUUUAUAGAACUGGACAGGUCAUUUAUUCGUUCCCCUUGUUUUUUGAAGUGUCCUGCAGGAUGCUGUGUCCUGCAAUCCUGUGUGCUGUGCUACAGACGCGUGUGGAGGUCAACCCAAAAUGGGCACAGUCUCACCACAGAAGAGUGAAAGAGGAUCCUGGCAGGGAGACGGUAGUGUCCUGCAGAAUGGUGAUGGGCCAAUCUUACAAGAGACCACAGAAAACUGAUAUAGUGAACUAUAGAAACAGAGUGCCUGCUGCAGUAUGGCGAGGACACCCUGAGCAGAGAGCUCCAAUAGACCCAGGUCCAGUGUCUUGGCAGGGUGAAAUGGCACUGAUAUGGUGUCCUGCAGGAUGCUGUGUCCUGCAAUCCUGUGUGCUGUGCUACAGACGCAUCUGGAAGCCAACCUGAAAUAAGCACAGUCUCUCCACAGAGGAGUGAAAGAGGCUCCCAGAAGUGAGACUGAGUGCCUGUUGCAGUAUGACGAGGACACAGUGACCAGAGACCUUCAGUAGACCCUUCUGGCAUGAUUGGCGGCUGAAGAACAUGAAAUCAACAGCAAUGUUUAUAAUGUUGUACAUACCUGUAUAGUCUGUAUUAAAAGGCAGUACCUGUA